rnacentral:rRNA from 1 species
UACGGAGGGUGCAAGCGUUAUCCGGAUUCACUGGGUUUAAAGGGUGCGUAGGAGGGCAGGUAAGUCAGUGGUGAAAUAUCCCGGCUUAACCGGGAGGGUGGCAUUGAUACUGCGGGGCUAGAGUACAGAUGAGGUAGGCGGAAUUGACGGUGUAGCGGUGAAAUGCUUAGAUAUCGGGAGGAACACCUAUGGCGAAGGCAGCUCGCUGGGACGUUACUGACGCUGAGACGCGAAAGCGUGGGGAGCAAACAGG